CAUAGGAUUUGAGAGAGACGGAAUCAAGUGACAUUUUAAAAUUAGAAGCAGCAAGAUUUGGCAGCUGACUGUAUGUGGGGGGUGAGAGAAAGGAGGUGAGAAUAACACCAAGACUUCUAAGUGGGGAGGCAGGUAAAAUUGAGAUGCCAUUAACCCAGAUCAAGAUGAGAAGGGGCAGGCCCUCUGGUCUGGCAACAAUGGAGCUGAGCUGGUGGUGCUAACCCUUCUGGCACUCUGCCCAUUCACAGUCCUACUGCCUGUCGCCAUCAUAGAGCUAUAUAUCCCCUUCACCAAGGACUUCCUACUCAGCAGCAUUGCCACCAUGAUCUCCAGGCCUGACACUGAAUUUUAGUCUUGUGAGAGUCCCAGAAAAUAUCUGUGAAAGAAGAAAGGUCAUAAUGGGGAGGGACAGAAAGACAGGAGCCUGCAGGAAAACCUGGGAGGAAGAGCAUUAGAAGGAAGCCCUGAGGACACACGCCCGUCCUGCUACUGAAGUCAGGAAUCCAAGGCACCACUGAAUAAGCCAGCCUUGUCCCUGUGGAGACAUCUGGUCAAAGACAGAAACAGAUGGCAAGACAGGAUCGAUUCCUGAAGAGUUUCAUUGGGGGAGACAUCUGUGAGCUGUCAUGGGGGGACAAGUCGUAGGGGUCUGUGCGAUCUCCACAGGGGCAGAGUGAUGGCCGAUCCACCGGAGAGAAGACCAUGUCUAUUCACCAUACUCAGUAGCUGGUGUCGAUUCAAACUUCCAGAGUCUGAUCCGAAUGCAUUGUUUUAGGCAUAUUUAAGCAUAGCAAAAUUUGGUGAACACUUUUGGUGAUAACUAACUCAAUCCCAUGUGCACAAUAAAGCAUACAUAAGCUGAGAGGUGGUGGUGCAUGCCUUUAAUCGCAGCACUUGGGAGGCAGAGGCAGGUGAGUCUCUGUGAGUUCCAGAACAGCCAGAGCUGUUACACAGAGAAACCCUGUCUUGAAAAAAAAUCAAACCAAACCAAACAAGCAUACAUAAAUCUCUUUGAGGAACAAAGUAAACUAAAUAAACUACAUCAAAAUUAUUUGUAAAGUACAUGUGACAGCUAAAAGAUGGGUUCUCUAGACUGACUA